rnacentral:rRNA from 1 species
CCGGCGCACGGGUGAGUAACGCGUAUCCAACCUGCCUUACACUCUUGGAUAGCCUUCUGAAAGGAAGAUUAAUCCAGGAUGGGAUCAUGAGUUCACAUGUCCGCAUGAUUAAAGGUAUUUUCCGGUAGACGAUGGGGAUGCGUUCCAUUAGAUAGUAGGCGGGGUAACGGCCCACCUAGUCAACGAUGGAUAGGGGUUCUGAGAGGAAGGUCCCCCACAUUGGAACUGAGACACGGUCCAA